GGCAGCGUGGUGUAGUGGUUUGUAUGUUGGACUAUGACUCUGAAGACUAGGGUUUGAUUCCUACCUCUUCCA